UACGGGGGGGAGCAAGCGUUGUUCGGAUUUACUGGGCGUAAAGGGCGCGUAGGCGGUCGUGACAAGUCACUUGUGAAAUCUCCGGGCUUAACUCGGAACGGUCAAGUGAUACUGUCGGACUAGAGUGCAGAAGGGGCAACUGGAAUUCUCGGUGUAGCGGUGAAAUGCGUAGAUAUCGAGAGGAACACCUGCGGCGAAGGCGGGUUGCUGGGCUGACACUGACGCUGAAGUGCGAAAGCUAGGGGAGCGAACGGG
rnacentral:rRNA from 1 species